rnacentral:rRNA from 1 species
CAGUAGCCGCGGUAAAACGUAGGUCCCGAGCGUUGUGCGGAUUUAUUGGGCGUAAAGCGCGCGUAGGCGGUUUUUAAGUCUGAUGUGAAAGCCCCCGGCUCAACCGGGGAGGGUCAUUGGAAACUGGGAAACUUGAGUGCAGAAGAGGAGAGUGGAAUUCCACGUGUAGCGGUGAAAUGCGUAGAGAUGUGGAGGAACACCAGUGGCGAAGGCGACUCUCUGGUCUGUAACUGACGCUGAGGAGCGAAAGCGUGGGGAGCGAACAGGAUUAGAUACCCCUGUAGUCCCUGUCUCUUAUACC